rnacentral:siRNA from 1 species
CUCCACAUUUGGUGCGUUUGGUCC